GUCAGGAUGGCCGAGCGGUCUAAGGCGCCGAGAUUUAAGCUCUGGGUUCUCCCGAAAGAGAGCGAAGCGCGGGUUCGAACCCCACUCCUGACA